rnacentral:lncRNA from 1 species
GUUUCUAAUAAUACAACAGGGACUUUUCAUUUCCCUCGCUACCGUUUUCGUUUCCCUCUAGCUUCAGAAAACCUAAACACUUAACCAAAACAAACAUGAAGGCAGGAGUCAGAACAAAGCAAAACAAAAUUGAAAGCACAACGAAGCAAAACCCACAACAUGAAAUAAGCAACUUGAGCUGACAAAAAAAGGUAAAAGGCACAAGAAAACCUUGAAGAUCGAAGAAUAUAAAGCCCACAUUAAGAAAGAAGAGAACCAAAAUUAUUGAAGCAGAAAAGAAAGAUCGAAGAAAGUCAAAGCAAAUAAAAAGUUGUAAUCAGGUCAGAACACUCACCCUCUCUCUAUAUCGGUUCUUGCACUUUCCUCUAAUUUUUUGUAAAGCCCUCAUUGUCAAUUUGUUUCAGAUUUUUCUAUUUCUUGACUUGAUUUUAAUUUAGAUAGGCUUGCAUGCAUGAAUCAUUUGUUUAUUUACUUUUUGACUGGCAUGCACACAUGAAUCGAUGAUUUGCAAAUAUAACUAAGAAAAUU